AACGCACAUUGCGCCCAUUAGUAUUCUAGUGGGCAUGCCUAUUCGAGCGUCAUUUCAACCCUUAAGCUUAGCUUAGUGUUAGGAGCUUACAGCGAUGUAACUCCCUAAAGUCAUUGGCAGAGCUAAAUCAACUCUCAGCGUAGUAAUUUCAUCUCGCUCUUGUAGUUGGUCUAGCGAUCGCCAUAAACCUUUAUUUUCAAUGGUUGACCUCGGAUUAGGUAGGAAUACCCGCUGAACUUAA
rnacentral:misc_RNA from 1 species